rnacentral:lncRNA from 1 species
GGCCUCCAUCUUGAAAACGGAAAAUAAAAACAGCAGACCUAUGAAGGUCAAAGGGGAAGUUAAGAAAAGCUGUAUCGAUUGUUGAGAUCUGGCGACUUGCUUAAAUUUCAUCAGCCUCACUUCUAUGGACUCUCAGGCCUCACGUGUACCAGCUCUCUGCUCUCCUUUGCCUUGGGACGUUCCAUCCCUGGAAGUUUCCCUGCCCACAUCUUUGUAGAGAGUCCAUUCUCCAAGCUUCAGUGUGUCAUCUGUUAGGACUAUGACCCACCUGGUACAUUACCUCAGGGCAUUCAUUUCAGGCUCCUUCUAAGUGGUCAAGAGAAAACACCAACAUUUUUGUAAUGGCCUGCAAGGCCUUCCAAGAUCUGCCUCCUGCAACUCAGCUUCUCCUGUGCUCUUCUUCUGGACUCACUCUGCCUCAGCAACGCUGGUCCCUGUUGCCCCACCAAUAUGCCAGGUAAACCUCAGGUUCUCCUCCUGCCUUUUGCUAAGUAUAUGUCUUGAUGACAAGCCUUCUGCUAAUGAGCUGUGUUUCUGGACCGAUCAUGGUAGAAGUCAAUUGAAGUGUCCCUCACUUGGGGUUUCUUAAGGCUGCACUGAUGAGGAAACUGAAACAGAAAAUCCAGAGUAAAUUCCACCAGGCCACACAGCAAGGUCUGAUAGAGCCAGGAGAGACUUUAUGAAAUCCAGACUCUCACACUAAUGCUCUAUCAGCUAGACCUCCAUGUGAGUCUCCCCAAUGUAGGUAGGAAGCACUUUCCC